GACCCCGCGGCCGGCGGGAGCGUGGCGGCUCGUCCCGGAAGGCUGGAGAGCUGGGCCGGGAUCCGUCCGGGCAGGACGGCCCUACCCCUACCGCACCCCUCGCCGCACCCAGCCGGGAGGAAGGCCGUGCUACCGCUGGUCUUCUCUGCUCUCGCGAGUAAAGGGUCGCAGUGAGCGGCGCGGCUAGCCCAGGGCCAGGAGCCCCCGCCCGGUGCCGGCGCCGAGGGCCGCCCGCUGUCCAGGACAGGAAGUGCCAUUCUGACGUGCGGAACGGCAGGAGACGAAGCUGGAGGCGGGCAGCCCCGUGUGUUGCGGCGCGGCCGGUGGGGCCGGAGGGGAUGUCCACAUCAGUCAACAGUUCCAGUCCUUACACCCUCUACAGCUACCUUCAGUUACAAUCAUCCUUCAGUACAACACACAUGAGAAGCAUCCAAAAGGCUUCGAAUGUCAAAAACACAUGAACUGACCCAGGGCACACCAUACUUUGUAAGGUUUUACUGUCAGUGACUCUCAGCUUCUGUGGAAAAUUGCUGUGACAUGCAAGAAGAAACCCACCAGUUCACCCCCUGGAACAUCCUGGAAGACCCUUACUUUGAGUGUUGCGCAUGCUGUGUAGCACACGUUGGGCAGGAUCUCUAUAGGUUCUUUGAACAUCACCCUGAAUGUGUUAGCAGUUCCAUCGCAACUGAAUCCAGUAUCGUUUUGUCCCAGGGUCUGUUUUUUUUCAUAUUCGAUGAUCUGAAAUGUUUCAAAGAGAAGAUACACUUCAGUUGAUGUAACUAAAGUUUCAGAAAAUACAGAGCCCUUAAAACAGCGGCUGUGUCUCUGCCGUGUAAUUCUUCUCACCCCCAGAGACAGCUCUAACAGGCAGUCAGGGGUGGGGAGGAUGCUAGCUCAUGAGCUCGGCGGAAGACACACAGUUCGGGGAACUGGUUUUAGAACGCUUGGAUUUUAGAUACUGUGGAAAAUGGGCCUUUGCGCCUUGCUAGUCUUGCCGCUAGAAAAUUUGCAGAGCCAUUUCCUAUGUCUAAAUGUUAUUUACUGAAUUAAAAUGACCUGAAAUGCAGUAUUCAAGUAUGCAUAUAUCAAAAAUGUGAAAACCUUGUGUUUUCAAUUUUGUUCCAUCAUCUGUGCCAGGCACUGAAGGACUCACCCUCAAGGAACUUCCAGCCACUAGACCUAUGUACAGUGACAACUCAGUACAGCAUUUGUAGUAAGGGCUAUGCAUAAGGUCAAGCAGUUCAGUGGAGGAGAAUUUUAUCUUGUCAGGAAGGGGUUAGGCCGCACAGAGGAGAGCUUUAAAAGCUCCAGUUAGAGCCCACCCCGGGUUACAAAGGUCCAUUUGAGGGGGCAGCAGGUGCAGAGGCGGAGGCUCACAGACCUGCCUUUUUUGCAUACAUCAGAUAAAAACAGGAAUGGUAAAAAAGACCAAACCAGUAGAUGCUGUGUGAGGUGAGGACAGUGGUCAUCUCUGCAGGGAUAGUGACCAGAAGAGAUCACAGGGAGACUCCCAGGGCGCUCAAACAUCUUGUUCCUUGAUCUGGCUGCUGGCUGCACAAGUGUGUUCAGUUUGUGAAAAGUGAAACACACGUACUGCUUAGAAAUACGUGCACUUUUCUAUACAUAGAUCACAGAUCCAUAAAAAACUUAAAGACCCAGCAUGCUGGUGUCCUGGGGUAAAGUAGUAAGCCCCAGGUUCUGGCUGUGGCAGUAUAAUCCACAGCAAACUGCCACACUUCCCUGAGCCCCAGUUGUUUCAUUUGGUGGAAACCCUGCUUUGCCUUCCUCCUAAGGCGGCUGUAGGAAUCCCAUUAGAAACUCCAAUUUUGCUGCCCAAUUGAGCACCUAUUAGAAACUCCAGCAACACCAGUGGCAGAUCAUGUUGCAAACACUUCAAGUGCAUCCCAUCACAAAGCUAUACGGUGGGCACCACGGCUGCCACAGCAGACAAGGAAACUGAGGCUGAGACACACUACAUUAUUUGCCCACGAUCGCAGCUCGAGGUGGUGGAGCUGAGACUCAAACCGAGGAGGAUCUGCCUGGUGGUGGAUCUGGAGGGGGCGUGACGCUAGCCACUGGGGGAAGAAAAUAAACACAAGUCCUAUUUCUACUCAUUUUACUCAGUUUUUAUUAUUCUACCAUUUCAAUAUACCUAUAUCCCUGAUGCCCUCUCUUGGGUCUGCAGAUUAUACAGCCUGCUUAAGUGGGUUCACGGAUCCUCCUGGGAUAGGAUCUUAACACUACUUAUAAAGUGAAAUGGGGAGUGCUCAUGAAAAGCCUUUAUACCCCUCAGAGGUUUGCUAUGGCUUUACUGUACUUAACACAAGAAAAAUAAAAUUUUCUAACCAUUGUAAUCUUUCAAAUAAAUAAUUUCAGUGGGUUUUGAACCUCAAUUUGUUAAAAAUAUUUAAAAUGUCAUUAACUGGUUUGUAAGAGUAACAAAUUUACAUCAGUGAUGUAAAUUUAUCAGCUGAUUUCUUAUUCAAAAAAUAUUUAUUCAAAUAAUCUCUAUGCCCAAGGAGGGGCUCAAAGUCACAACCUCGAGAUCGAGAGUUGCAUACUCUUCUGACAGAGCCAGAUAGGCACCCAUCAGCUGAAUUUUUUUUAAGAUUUAUUUGAGAGCCUGAGCGGCAAGGGCAGAGAGGAAGACUCUCAAGCAGACUCUGCACUGAGCCCAACAUGGGAUGGACUCCAUGUCACGACCCGAGCCAAAACCAAGAGUUGGGGGUCUGACUGCACCUCCCAGGUACCCCAACCGAGUUCCGCUAUAACUGUAGCAAACAGGAUUAGACUAUGAGCAUGUCACGAGCAAAGCCAAUAAUGUGGUUCUUACAUUCGUAGCAAGGUGUCUUUGUGAGGUGGUGAGGAAUCUUUUUCAGCUAUCAUCCAAUCAGACCUCUGAAUCGUUCCAUAUUUGGAAAACUAAUGAUGCAUUCUGAACACAAAGGUCACCAAGGUUUUCACUAUUAAAACUAAUGUAUUAAUAACAUUUUAGGGAAGGCAGUUAUUUUUUUUUA